UCCAAUGUGGUGUAGUGGCUAACAUUGCUGUCUUUCAUAUAUACCAGGAAUUUGAUCACAGCAGCCCGGGGUUCGAUUCCCCGCAUUGGAA